GUUUUGUUUGUUGUUUAACGCCGCACUCAGCAAUAUUCCAGGUGAGGUAUUCCCGCAAAGUUACGCGAGUUUUCUGCCGCUUGGAAAGGAUGUUACUUUCAUUUUUCCCAUUGUGUGUGGCCUCCAAACAGACUACAAGAACAACGAGGAUGUUACCAAGUUCAUCCGACGCUGCCCUCGUCUGCCUUUAGUUCCAGUGGCAAACACGCAGAGCACUCAGACAGACACGUGCUGCUUUACCUGCUAUUAAGGAAGUUGGCUGCGGCGCCUACACGGCUGUUAAGGGAAUGUACCACAGAUCUCGAUUCCUGUGGUGGUUUUGUGACUUUGUGGAUAUUGUCUGCAGUGCCAUCUCAAAUUCAAGUACCGCUGUGUCACUGUUGUGUGACACAAAAGUGGACAAAUAUUGAAGUACCGUUAUGGAUGAUUAUCGACACAGCAGCCACGCAACUUCGAGAGAUGCUGAAAAGAUUUAUCAUGAAACUAGGAGAGGACAUUAAAAACCUGCCCAAAUCAAUCUGGGAGAAAUUUGCCAAUCACUUAAAGGUCACAUGCAACGUAAAACACAACUUUGCAGAUUCUGAUACCUUUCGGUAUGGACAUACCAGAAACAAAUCGUCAAAAAUGCAAAUUCA